AUCAUAUCGUACGUGCACUUGCAACUGUUUUGAGGUUUUUCUCCAUAUAUAAAUAGCGACUGUAAAUGUAAGUUUAAAUCGUCUUACCUGUAAAACCUGCCGUCAUUGCCGGAAGUCAGUGUUUGGGCGCACACUUUAAUAACUGGGGGUGGGCGGGGGGGUUUCAGUGUAACUGAAAAGUAAAGUUUUACUUUCCUGUGUGGGACAUCAUCUGCUGUCUAGUCGGCAACAGAGGUAAGUCCCUAUUCUGGAGUUUCACAUCUCUGUUUUUUUCUUUAAAAAAACAAGUUGUGUUUUUAUGCAUGGAUAAUGGAUGCAUUGCUAGAACUGAUGCACGGAUGUGCUGUCUAUUUGCUCUCCUGUGGUUGCUGAUGUGUUUGCUGAUAGACCUCAUUGUGAUUAUAGAAUGCCACUUUGUUCGGUCUACACACACAUUCACAUACCGCUGUGUGUGUGUGUGUGUGUGUGUGUGUGUAUGUAUAUAUAUGUACGUACAUAUAUAUAUAUAUAUAUAUAUAUAUAUAUAAAAUUCUCGCCUUCGCCACAAGGUGUCGCACGGAGUGGAGUCGCCGAGGUGCAUAGUGCGAAAAAGUGGACAAAUUUUGCUUUUUUUUUUUUUUUUUAAUUUUCAGUAAUAGAGUCCUAAGCAAGGGCGUAGAUUUGGCAUGGACGGAAGGGACAUGUCCCCACCAAUAUCCAGCGAUUAUUGAAUUGUCCCCACCAAUAAUUUGAUCUCUUCGAGUAAAGAAAAACAAACCCGAUAGAAAGAGGAAAAAAACCGAUCUGUCAACGUCUCAUUCGCCCAGCGGUGCAGAAAGAUUUAAAUUACGUUCUCUACUGGAGUCCUACCUCAUGUGAUAAAUAUGGCCAGUGUGAUUGGCUGUGCCUUUCAGGGAGCUCUGUUUAGUUUUAGCAGCGGCAAGCCUGCGCUGCGAGGAGGAGAGGAGGAUGGCAGCAAAAAGGAAGAACCUGGAUAUAAGAAAGUAUUUUUCAAAGAAACCUGAAGAGUAUAUUUUCAGUUUUGAAAAAUAAAUGGAGAGGAAAAGAUCUGCGGAAGGGGAAGACCAAGAAGGCUGUGGAUUAAGGAAAAGAUGGAAGGCUGAAUAUAAUGAACCUUCUGAUGAUGAAGACGAGAAGGAGGAGGAGGAUCAAAAAACUUGGAGGACAGAAGGAAAACAGCUUUUGCCUGUAAUCUGUGGAACCACAGAGGGCAUCCUUGAUUGUGAGAAGCUGGAACAAGGUAAGGCGUGUAUUGUGUAUGAAGGCAAAUGGUGUAAGCCCUCUAGGUUUGAGAAACUUGCAGGGAAAAGAUUGUGUAAAAAAUGGAAAGCAACUAUUUUCUAUGAUGAUCAACCUCUGGAGUAUUGGAUUAAGAAACGUUACCUAAAAACUAAGGGAUACAGAAAAGGAAGAUCCAAGACUAGAACGGAAAUACAAUCAUCCAACUCUGAAGAAACUGAAGAUGAUAAUGCUGAAGGUAAAGACCAGCUUUCAAACAGUGAGGAAAUGCUAGUGGAAACAGAGCAGAGAGAGAGAGGAAGCUGAAAAUGCUGGGAGUGAAGAAGAUGAAGAGAAACAGGCAGAGGGAGAAAUAGAAGAUAAGACUGUGUCUGCUGUUGCCCCUAAACAUACUGACAAGAGUGUUAUUUAUUAAAUGAUGUUAUUUCCUCUUGACAUGUAACCAUCCUAACAAAAAGUGUCUGUGUAUGAAAAUCACUCUUCU
ensembl:lncRNA